ACCUGUCCAAGACAGCCUGUGUCUGGACCGGGGGAGGAAAGCGGAGAGACAGCGGAGAAAGUCCAUGUGGCCGCAGACGAUCGUGAGACUCCACACAGGGGACAGAGGGCAACACAGGCCAGAUUCGAACCCAGGACCCCAGAGCUGAGAGUCCGCACCAGCUGCCACACCACCGUGGUGAACUGGCGAAAUGACCCACUCCCCAAUUUCACGUGCUGUCCAGGAAGCGAGGGCUGAGUUGCUGUGGCUCUGUGCUGGAGGUGCUCAUUUCCAUUCCGGUUGUGGAGAUGCUAACAAUCGCAGUCUGUGCCCCUUCGUCACAGCAGGGUGCAGUUCACUCUUCACGGCCGGCCGGUGAAAAGCCCAGACUCCCUCCUCACCACAGUGGAGCUCAGGCCGCGUUCUCUUACCUGAACACACUGCGUACAGCCGACAUGAUCUCGCUAGCUGGCAUGAGACCAUUUUGCAGGGGGAAAGGAGUACUGCAGGAGUAGCUGGUGGGCUGCGUCAGAAGAUACUGUAACAGCAGCAGCACUGAAGCUUCAGGACAACCUGGCCACAAAUCUCUGACCUCCUCUCCCAAGCCUUGACCACUACAUGCUUUACACUACAGCAAGGUGGAGACUCUGCAGGCCCUAUUAGCCCUAGAGAAGGUUACAGGGGGUAACAACGUUGCAAAGCAGAAAGAGAUGCGAGGAACUGACACGCUGGCAGACAGAAACUGAGAGAGAUGUGGAUAUACUGUAGCUUUUUAAAAGCAAGCCGAGCCCCGUUGCUACCAGUGGGCUCCUGCUGCAGAAAUCCAGCUCUAGUCAGAAUCUGUCUGAAUGAUCAACGUAGGGGGGAGCUUCUGGCCAGCCGCACACCUGUCCCUGCCCAGGAAGCUCCCGGCUCUCCUGUGUGUCCAGUUGAACAUGCGCCUUUGGAGUCUGAGAGACCCGUUCACAAGAACUCUUUUUCACAACACACUUCUUUCAGGGCUGGAUCUGAGCCAGAUGGGAGUGCCGUGCAGGAUUCUCCUGUGGCUGGAGUUUCUCCUCUUGGUGCAUCAUUCUCAGACUUUCCUGCGUGUUCCGAGAAGAUCCAGGCCCAGGGGCUUUCAGGAUGCAGCAAUUUCUUUAAGUGGUUAAAGAAUGAUUAAUUAUACCCUGACAUGUUUGGAGAGGUUGUUUUAUAGGACCCUGGGACCUGGAGCAGGGCUGGAUAUGAAGCUGUAUAAACAAACAGUGGAAUUCAAGCCGUUAUUGCAGUGAUUAAACCUUCCUUCCCUGUCUGAUCCCCCUCUGACAUCAGUCCACUGAUGCAGAGCCAAACAUGAUGAAUGUCUGAUUCUGGUUAAAUGCUGACUCCUUUGGGUCAACAUUUAACCAGAACCAGCUGAGAAACAAAGGGUGAGUUGCCAAUUCAUCUUUAAAUACAUUUUUCUUUUUUAAGAACUUUACUUAUUUUUAAACCUGUUGUAAGUAAUCAGCUGGUUAUUCAUCAUUCAUGCCACAUCACUCAUUCCACUUUUUUCAAAAUCUUUUCAGACAGGUCUUCAUUUUAAAAUAAUGUCUUCAUUUUAUUAAGGUUCAAAAUAUAAUGCCUAUUGUCUUAGCUCACCUAUGAGCCAUGUUGUACCCUGAAACACUAAUUAAUCGAAACAUGUCUGGUUUAUGGAAACAUUAAAAGCUCAACUUUAAGUGAUCUCUAGAAGUAUCAGAGAUGCUUGCAAUCUGUCUGUCAGUAUUUACAGUGAUCAAAUAAAAAAGUCCUCUUCCAACACACGGGAACAGAUGAUUGCAGCACCGUGUCCAAGGCAUCACAGGAGUGCUCAUCCGACAUGAGGCAUAACUGCAGAACUAUACAUGUUCAUAUAAGUACAGUGACAGUUACAUACAGCACGGCCUUCUACACAGAGACUUGCUUAUUAGGCUCUGACUG